ensembl:lncRNA
CUCUCAUGUCAUUUCACUCCAUUUUAAUAACUUUGUGUACCCAGGGGGCAGAGGGGGGUGGGAUACCUUGGCUCGUUUCCUCAGCAGCUUGGCCAGUCGGACCACGUAGGGUUUAAACUCCCUCUGGUGAGUCCCCUGGCGUCUCACUUCCAAUCCUGAAUCGUCUGAAGCCUCUGGGAUGAAAGCCCAGCGGUACCUGUAAUGAGACAGGACACGAUCAGGAAUACACGAGUUAUCAAAUUAAUAAGUCAGAGUUUUAAAGGAUUCAUGCAUUCGUCCGUACGAAAUGGUGGCAGGCUGGCAUUUUUAGCUAAUUAUCUCUGAAACAGGUUCCAUAAACCAAUCACAGAGGCAACUGUGAACAAGGCUCGUCUGCACUGACAUUUGAAACUGAGGCAGGCUCUCGGGAGGCAGGGCCAGAGCCAGGUCCAGGAGCUUGCAGGCAGACAGAUAGAGGUUGAGCCACCGCUGGCUGUUGUAGGAGGUGGAGAAGCCAUUCCCACCAGAAUAGGUGGUCUCUAAGCCGGCCACGGAUGGCCCUGACGUCCUAUGGGAGGACAGGAGAGGAUAAAUCACACAGGCAGAAGUGAAUUUAUUAUGCUGCGCUCCAACUCUGUAUUAUGAACAGACAACACACCUUGAUAUGUCUUCAUCUGCCGUUAGCUCCUGCUCCAUUAAAAGAAACACCUGAACCUGCAGGGAAACACCAGCUCAGUGAUCAUGGUCGGCCACAGCGAGGUGAGGUGCUGGGGGGACAUGCGCAGCAGCAGCACUCUGAAGAACAGGAACACCUGAGCAUGAAGGAUGGGCACCUGCGGCAGACGCAGGCUCUCCACCAGACGCUCUGAAAACACACAAACCGUUAAGUAUCUGCUCAGCUCAGUUAAAUAUGCAGGUGAAUAAACCAAGUAUAGACCUCAGUAUACGACACGGGUGCAUGUAGAAUACAGCGCAGCGUUUACCUUGUAUGUCAGGCAGGUACUUCUGGUACUGGUCCACUUCACUGCUGUAGAUGGUGAAAGCCAGGCGUUUGAGCAGCAUGGCUCUCUGCUCCAGCUCAGCAUCUCUGUUAGUGAACAGACUCAGAGAGCUGCUCUGAGCUACAGCCACCCGAGCUGAAGGGGAGCACACAGUCAAUGUCUGUCCAUCUAGUAUCCAUUUAACAAGUAAAUACUACUAUCCAAAGGAAGGAUCAAAAGGAUAGUAGGUCUUCUAGGUUUUAAAGCUAAAAUUGAUGAAAAUAGGAAAUUUGUGAUAUUGGGCAUUAGCUAUGUCACACACACACACACACAUUUUUAUUAUUUAUUUUAGGCGAACUGGCGAAAGAUGGCCCUGUAAAUGUUAGAAAGAAAAUGUACAAUGUGCUGAACGGUGUGUAACCAAAGCUUACUCAUGAGGUCUCUGAAUGUGGUCUUGUCAUGAGUCAUCAAGUGGUCAAUGAUGGCUCUCCAGCUGAAAGAUUCGGAAAUUUAGAGUAAGUACUUAAAUAACAAACACAAUCAACUGAUUUCCAGAAACAAGAUGCACCAUUCCAAGAGUCUGUUGAUGCAACACUUAUGUCAAUGGGUUUUUGACUUUAAUGAAUCUCUGGCAUCGGAGUUCUUUUUUGGACCUUUUCAACAAAUGCGGAGACUGCUAAUAAAUGUCCAAUUAGUUAUUACUAUUAGAUGUGCGUACUGACAGGGCACACAAGGCCAUGCUUCUUAUCCAUUUCUAGGUUUUUUAUUCAUUUCUAAUCCAAAAUGGGUCAAUCUCCAAGAUUUGUUAGAUUACACUGGAUGGAUACAGUGGAUGGAUUGAUAGAUGAGACAAGUACAGUUCAUUAGCAAUUAAUACAAUUACGCUCAGCCUCUUUCAAGUUAUUGGGUCCAAUAUCCUUAUAUUAGUCAAUUCUCUCUCGCUCUCUUUUAUAGUUAACAUUUACUCUAACUACAAUGUUCCCUCUCCUACUCACUGGCUGACACAAGAGGAGUCCAUUUGGAAGAAGGUGUGGUCCAUGAAGAGGUCGAAGGCCUCCUUCUUCCAGGCGCGGCGGGUGUACUGGUACCCACUUAGGCUGCUCAACAGUUGGAUGCAGGCCCGGUAGCUGGGGGCGUUGUGAGCACUGCCAGAAGGAGCAGG